rnacentral:rRNA from 1 species
AGUACCGGCGAGUGAAGCGGCAACAGCUCAAAUUUGAAAUCUGGUCCUCACGGGCCCGAGUUGUAAUUUGUAGAGGAUGCUUUUGGUGAGGCACCGCCCCGAGUUCCCUGGAACGGGACGCCGCAGAGGGUGAGAGCCCCGUCUGGCUGGCUGCCGAGCCUUUGUAAAGCUCCUUCGACGAGUCGAGUAGUUUGGGAAUGCUGCUCAAAAUGGGAGGUAUAUGUCUUCUAAAGCUAAAUACCGGCCAGAGACCGAUAGCGCACAAGUAGAGUGAUCGAAAGAUGAAAAGCACUUUGAAAAGAGGGUUAAAUAGUACGUGAAAUUGUUGAAAGGGAAGCGCUCAUGACCAGACUUGGGCUUGGCGAAUCAUCCAGCGUUCUCGCUGGUGCACUUCGCCUCGUCCAGGCCAGCAUCAGUUCGCUUCGGGGGAUAAAGGCUUUGGGAACGUGGCUCCUCCGGGAGUGUUAUAGCCCAUUGUGUAAUACCCUGAGGUGGACUGAGGUUCGCGCAUCUGCAAGGAUGCUGGCGUAAUGGUCAUCAGCGACCCGUCUUGAAACACGGACCAAGGAGUCGUCUUCGUAUGCGAGUGUUCGGGUGUAAAACCCCUACGCGUAAUGAAAGUGAACGCAGGUGAGAGCUUCGGCGCAUCAUCGACCGAUCCUGAUGUUCUCGGAUGGAUUUGAGUAAGAGCAUACGGGGCCGGACCCGAAAGAAGGUGAACUAUGCCUGUAUAGGGUGAAGCCAGAGGAAACUCUGGUGGAGGCUCGCAGCGGUUCUGACGUGCAAAUCGAUCGUCAAAUAUGGGCAUGGGGGCGAAAGACUAAUCGAACC